rnacentral:lncRNA from 1 species
CAGACACUCAUGGCGGGCCAAGUGAAAGACCGGGAGGCCUUCCAGAGACUCAACUUCCUUUACCAGGUGAGACAGCGCUCAGGUGGGUGGCAGGCCCGUGCUCCGGCCGAGGAAUGACCCGGAUGGCCGUCCUUGUCCCCAGGCUGCACACUGCGUCCUCUCUCAGAACCCCGAGAACCAGGCACUGGCUAGGUUUUACUGCCACACAGAGAAGACCAUCGCGAAGCGGCUGGUCCUACGGCAGGACCCCUCUGUGAAGAGGACGCUCUGUCGCGACUGCUCCUCUCUCCUCAUCCCUGGCCUCACCUGCACGCAGCGCCAGAGACGCCGAAAGGGACAACGCUGGACAGUACAGACCUGUCUGACAUGCCAGCGAAGCCAGCGGUUCCUCAAUGACCCCAAGCAUCUCCUCUGGGGUGACCGGCCUGAAGCCCAGUUGGAAAAUCAGGCGGAUUUCAAACCGUCAGAGCCCCUGCCAAACAUAGCUGACCUUUCUAAGGAGAACGUGCAGACUCAGGCUUUAAACACCACUGAAUGAACUCAUCCAUUUUCCAGAUAAAUAAAGUUGAGUUGUUU